AGAGUUUGAUCCUGGCUCAGAAUCAACGCUGGCGGCGUGCCUAACACAUGCAAGUCGAACGCGAAAGUCCCGCAAGGGAUCAGUAGAGUGGCAAACGGGUGAGUAACGCGUGGGCGACCUACCUUCGAGUGGGGGAUAACCUUCCGAAAGGAGGGCUAAUACCGCAUGACAUCCCGUGUUUGGAUACACGGACAUCAAAGCCGGGGAUCGCAAGACCUGGCGCUUGGAGAGGGGCCCGCGUCCGAUUAGCUAGUUGGUGAGGUCAUGGCUCACCAAGGCUCCGAUCGGUAUCCGGCCUGAGAGGGCGGACGGACACACUGGGACUGAGACACGGCCCAGACUCCUACGGGAGGCAGCAGUGGGGAAUUGUUCGCAAUGGGCGCAAGCCUGACGACGCAACGCCGCGUGGAGGAUGAAGACCUUCGGGUCGUAAACUCCUUUCGACCGAGAUGAAGACCCGCUGUCCUAACACGACAGCGGAUUGACAGUAUCGAGGGAAGCAGCCCCGGCUAACUCCGUGCCAGCAGCCGCGGUAAUACGGGGGGGGCGAGCGUUGUUCGGAAUUACUGGGCGUAAAGGGUCUGUAGGUGGCUUGCUAAGUCAGACGUGAAAUCCCUCAGCUCAACUGGGGAACUGCGUCUGAUACUGGCGAACUUGAGUGCAGGAGAGGAACGCGGAAUUCCAGGUGUAGCGGUGAAAUGCGUAGAUAUCUGGAGGAACACCGGUGGCGAAGGCGGCGUUCUGGACUGCAACUGACACUGAUAGACGAAAGCCAGGGGAGCAAACGGGAUUAGAUACCCCGGUAGUCCUGGCCCUAAACGAUGAAUGCUUGGUGUGGCGGGUAUCGAUCCCUGCCGUGCCGCAGUUAACGCGUUAAGCAUUCCGCCUGGGGAGUACGGUCGCAAGGCUGAACUCAAAGGGAAUUGACGGGGCCCGCACAAGCGU
rnacentral:rRNA from 1 species